AGAGUUUGAUCCUGGCUCAGGAUGAGCGCUGGCGGCGUGCCUAAUACAUGCAAGUCGAGCGGAAAGGCCUCUUCGGAGGUACUCGAGCGGCGGACGGCUGAGUAACGCGUAGGAACGUACCCCAAAGUGAGGGAUAACUGCUCGAAAGAGUGGCUAAUACCGCAUGUGAUCUACGGAUUAAAGCUUUAUGCGCUUUGGGAACGGCCUGCGUCCGAUUAGCUAGUUGGUGAGGUAAAAGCUUACCAAGGCGACGAUCGGUAGCUGGUCUGAGAGGAUGAUCAGCCAGACUGGGACUGAGACACGGCCCAGACUCCUACGGGAGGCAGCAGUAGGGAAUUUUCCACAAUGGGCGAAAGCCUGAUGGAGCAACGCCGCGUGCAGGAUGAAUGCCUUCGGGUUGUAAACUGCUUUUAAUAGUGACGAUUAUGACGGUAACUAUGAAAAGACCUC
rnacentral:rRNA from 1 species